rnacentral:rRNA from 1 species
GAGUGGCGAACGGGUGAGUAACACGUGGGUAACCUGCCCAUCAGAAGGGGAUAACACUUGGAAACAGGUGCUAAUACCGUAUAACACUAUUUUCCGCAUGGAAGAAAGUUGAAAGGCGCUUUUGCGUCACUGAUGGAUGGACCCGCGGUGCAUUAGCUAGUUGGUGAGGUAACGGCUCACCAAGGCCACGAUGCAUAGCCGACCUGAGAGGGUGAUCGGCCACACUGGGACUGAGACACGGCCCAGACUCCUACGGGAGGCAGCAGUAGGGAAUCUUCGGCAAUGGACGAAAGUCUGACCGAGCAACGCCGCGUGAGUGAAGAAGGUUUUCGGAUCGUAAAACUCUGUUGUUAGAGAAGAACAAGGAUGAGAGUAAAAUGUUCAUCCCUUGACGGUAUCUAACCAGAAAGCCACGGCUAACUACGUGCCAGCAGCCGCGGUAAUACGUAGGUGGCAAGCGUUGUCCGGAUUUAUUGGGCGUAAAGCGAGCGCAGGCGGUUUCUUAAGUCUGAUGUGAAAGCCCCCGGCUCAACCGGGGAGGGUCAUUGGAAACUGGGAGACUUGAGUGCAGAAGAGGAGAGUGGAAUUCCAUGUGUAGCGGUGAAAUGCGUAGAUAUAUGGAGGAACACCAGUGGCGAAGGCGGCUCUCUGGUCUGUAACUGACGCUGAGGCUCGAAGGCGUGGGGAGCGAACAGGAUUAGAUACCCUGGUAGUCCACGCCGUAAACGAUGAGUGCUAAGUGUUGGAGGGUUUCCGCCCUUCAGU